UGAUGAUGGAGUAAUGUGUCUACAAGCGAAAGAAUGCCAGGAAUUGCCAGCAACCACCAGAAGGAGAGCCGUAUGGAACAGAUUCUCCCUCAGAGCCUCCAGAAGGAACCAACCCUGCCAACACCUUGAUUUUGGACUUCUAGCCUCCAGAACUGACUCACAAGUUUAGAAGAAUAUCAGUUGCAGCUGAAAACUAUUAAAAAUAAAGGGGAUUAAUUGGCUCAUACAAGUGGAAAGUCCUCGGACUUCAGCUUUGAUUCAGCAGGUCCUUGACAUGAUCACUAAAGGAACAGAAGAUUCUCAAAAUAUGCUGCUGCAAAAGCUGGUAUAUUGUCUGGUUGCUCCCUCAGAAUCUCACGUGUGAGCCCUUCAAGAAGAUUCCCAAAUCCUUGUGGAAUUCGGUAGUGGG